UUUCCGUAGGUGAACCUGCGGAAGGAUCAUUCCUGAUUAGUGAUUUAUGGAACUUGUCUAGAUCCAUAUCUAUCUCGUUUGCAAUGUCGGCGUUGCUCUCUCUCUCGAGAGAACCAACCCCACACAUCAACGAUCUCUCAACUCUCUGUCUGAAAACUAUUAUGAAUACAAAAAUUCAAAAUACAACUUUCAACAGCGGAUCUCUUGGCUCUUGCAUCGAUGAAUAACGCAGCAGAUCGGAUGAUCCCACGUCUGAACUCCAAUCACUUCGUACGAACG
rnacentral:misc_RNA from 1 species